UUUGUAUGAAUGACUUGUUCAUGAACUACUAAAUUCAUAAUUAUUGCUUCUAAAGGUUCAUGUUACCUUCUAUUCUUCCCUGCCAUUGUAUCAAUAUCCAUAUGAUACCAAGCUAGAGAUGGACCUGAUCUGCAUUAAGAAAAUAACAGCACAAGAUUAUGUUAUGCAAAAUAUGAAUGUAGAAAACAUAGGACAUUCACCAAUGAUUCUCAGACAUCUUUUUCCAAAGGCAAAGCAUAUGCACUUAUAGUCAGCCAUUACCGAAAUGGUAAUGGAUAAAUCUUUUAAGUUCCAAUAACAAACCCAUCAGAUAACUAUAAUUUUCCUGGAUAAUUGAUCUGAACUUAUUAAGAGAAACUAUAAUACAGCAGUAAAAUUCCUAAACCCUUCAACAAAACUGUUUCAGAAAAUUUCCAUAAACAUUCAAUUUCAAAUCAUGCAUCUUCUAUAAAAACAAUUGAGAAACCCGGAUUGCAACUAAACUCAAUCAAUCAAAUAGGAGAUUACAAUCCUCACAAUCAACCAAACAGAUAUCAGAAGCAACCAAAUACCUCAAUAAGUCCCAAAAACUCAACCAAUCCAAAGCUACUCAAUGACGGAGAAAAAUGGUUGGCAGAGACAGUGGCAUAGAAAUGCAAUGAUAGAGGAUAGCAGAAAUGGCGAUGCAUUCUUCAACCUGACAAUGCAUAAAGCGCCGCUCUCAUGUCUCCAGGUUCACCAGAUUCCAUUUGUUGUGAGAAAGGAUGCCAGUUGUAGAUUUCAAUCCGAAGUUGAUACAGGAAUUUUCCUCCAAAUAAUUAACACAACCUCCCAUCAAGCUGGAAACAUUGAAGCACUUGGAAUCAGCUUCAAAGUCUCCAAACAAGCUCAAAGACCAGCAAGGUGGAAAGCAAAGAAGACAAUCUACUGUAAGAUCUGCCAAUUGGCACUACUGU
rnacentral:lncRNA from 1 species